CCGCGUGGCGCCCCCCGAGGAAGCUAAUUAGCGCAGCCCGGGGAGCUGGGGACCGGGGACCUGGCCCCGGGGGGCCGGGGCCCGCCUCUUGAGGGGGGAGCUCCUACAAAUUGCCGCACCCCACCCCCAUCUCUCCAGGCGCGCACGCAGCCCGGCGCGGGCCGGGGCACAGGGCGCAGGCGGGAGGUCGCAUCUGCAGCUUUGGCGCAAUGAAUCAGGCGCGGCCGCCGCCGCCGCUGCGGAGCGCGUCUGGCAUCCGGAGUCUCCCGGGAUCGAAAAUAAUUUGGGCAAAGCGGUGGGAGAUGAGAAUAUUGAGACUCAAGAGUGUUGGAGUCAGUCUCCUGAGCAUGUCAGAAGAGCUGGGAGGUCUUCCUCAGGUCUCCUGACUCCAGGUGGAUAUUCUUUCUGCUAGAGGCAGGUACAAAGACACCCCCUUCCUGGGCAGGAUGAGAGUAAAGAAUAAGGUCAGAAUGCGAAGUGCCAUUGGAGCCUGGAACAUAGUAGGACAAUGACUGCACCUGCACCCAGGACCACUGUGAACAUUCUCUGACCUAAUGCAUAAAAAGCAUUUAGUGUCCCACAUGGCACUUAGAGGCCACCAUUCAUAGAAGCUCACCUGUUGUGGAAGAGGAGGUUAGUGACUUGGUGGGGCCUCCUCCCUGCCACCAACAAUGCCCUCCAUCCCUUUCCCUCUCUUGAGUCCUCCUCUUUUCCUAUUUACCCUGCUUUCCCACUUCCUCUCUUUGCUGUUCCUCUAGCAUAAGUCUUGUGCUCACCUCAGGGCCUUUGUACUUGCUGUUCCCUCUCUGCAGCUCUGGUCUCCCAGAUGCUUGAUGACUGACUAUCGUUUCUGGGGUCUUAGCAUAAAUGUCACCUCCUCCAGGAUGGCGUGCCUGACUGCCCCAGCUGAUUUCUCCCUGGUGAAGCCAUUCUACAUUUCACUUGAUAGGUGAUAAUUUUGUUUACUCAUUUGUUCAGCAUCUUUCUCCCCUCCCUGCCAGGCUGUGGGCCUCAGGUAGGUGGACACCUUGUCUGUCUUGUUCCCAGUGUCGUUGGUGACUGGCAGCACAUAGUAGAUGCACCUCACAGACAGAGCCCUGCUCUUCUGGAGUUCACUGUUUAAUGAGUGAGGCAGGAUUGAACAAGCAAAGAAAAGUUUUGAUUUUUAAAAAAUUUAUUAUUUUUAAUUGUGGUAAGCUACACAUAACAUAAAAUCAGCAUCUUAACCAUUUUUAAGUGUACAGUUCAGUGACAUGAAGCACAUUCACAUAGUUGUGCAACCAUCACCGCCAUCCAUCUCUGGAACUCUUUUCAUCUUGCAGAACUGAAACUCUACCCAUUAAAUAAUAACUCCCCAUUCUCUGCAUCCACCCCAGACCCUGGCUGCCACCAUUCUAUUUUUCGUCUGUGCAAAUUUAACUACUCUACAUGGCUCAAAUAAGUGGAAUCAUGCAGUAUUUGUCUUCUUGUGACUGGCGUAUUUUGCUUAGCAUAAUGUCCUAAAGGUUCAUCCACAUUGUAAUGUGUGUCAGAAUUCCCCUCCUUUUUAAAGGCUAAAUAAUAUUCCAUUGUAUGUACAUACCACAUUUCAUUUAUCCAUUCAUCUACUGAUGGACACUUGGGUUGCUUCCACAUCUUGGUUAUUGUGAAUAA